rnacentral:rRNA from 1 species
AAACAAAACUAUUCGCCAGAGUACUACCGGCAACAGCUUAAAACUCAAAGGACUUGGCGGUGCUUUAUACCCUUCUAGAGGAGCCUGUUCUAUAAUCGAUAAACCCCGAUAAACCUCACCAUUCCUUGCUAAUUCAGUCUAUAUACCGCCAUCUUCAGCAAACCCUAAAAAGGUACAAAAGUAAGCACAACCAUAGCACAUAAAGACGUUAGGUCAAGGUGUAACCUAUGGAGUGGAAAGAAAUGGGCUACAUUUUCUAAUAUAAGAAAAUCUAAUACGAAAGUUAUUAUGAAAUUAAUAACCAAAGGAGGAUUUAGCAGUAAACUAAGAAUAGAGUGCUUAGUUGAAUUAGGCCAUGAAGCACGCACACACCGCCCGUCACCCUCCUCAAGUAGGCACAAUAUACUCAAAC